CUCAGACUGACAUGCAUGAAUAGAUACCCUGGGGCACAAAUACACAUUGAUGCAAAUUUAAAUAUGCUCACACGUGCAUAGAUAUGCACAAUGAUACAAAUGCAUAUAUAUACACACAAAUGCACAGAUAUUCACACUGACAUAUAUGCAAAUGUGCUCACAUACAGAUCCACUUACCCAUGUGCACACAACACACUCAAGUUCCUGCUGUAAACACUUUAACAGUUUGUCCCUGUGAGUUUCCCUGAAGCCCUGCCUUACACUGUUCUGGUGCUGUAUCAAAGUCGCUGGAAAAGGCUCCAUGGCACCCAUGAUAACAUGAUAUCUUUUUUUACACCAUAAAUGCAAUCAGAUUUGUCAUUGGAUCAAGAACCUAAUUAUAUACAUGUUAAUUAAAUCAUUGAAUAUUCUGUUCUUUCAAAAAAAAAAAAAAAAAUCCAGGCCAUUUUUAAAAUUAUCUGCAGAAUUUGAUUGCACAACCUCUUUGGAUAGACAAUUUCACAUUACUAUUAAAAAAAAUAACCUUUCCUUUGUUGUAAGCAAAAAUGUCUUUCUUCCAGUCUCAGAUUUUAUUUUGCUAUUUGAAUGCAAUGUUUAUGAAAUGGCUUAUAAAAUAAUAUAGUGCUAAAUGAGCUUAAUGGAGCACCCUGGUCAUAGGAAGACAGACAUCUAUGCCCUCACUGCUCUGGACUCGCCGCAGUUGCCCUGCUUACGCUGGGUGAGAUCUGAUGAUCUCAUCGAGAAGCAUUAGAAGGUCUGGCAGAAUGUGCAUCAAAUCACCACACUGUGUCAAUCAGAAACUCCUCAUAAAGAUGCACGGACUCAAUGCAUCACUAUGGGAAGAUUUCAGUAUCACUAUACAAACCGUAAAGCACUUAACGUAUGUCUUGCAAUAUUUGCAGGACCUCAACCAGGUGUGAAUGACUAGAGGUAGUCAUAGGCAGCAAUAUGAACAGUGCAUAUUCUCUGAAAAGGCAG